rnacentral:rRNA from 1 species
UAGCGGAGGAAAAGAAACCAACAGGGAUUGCCCUAGUAACGGCGAGUGAAGCGGCAACAGCUCAAAUUUGAAAUCUGGCCGCAAGGUCCGAGUUGUAAUUUGUAGAGGAUGCUUUUGGCGAGGUGACUUCCGAGUUCCCUGGAACGGGACGCCAUAGAGGGUGAGAGCCCCGUACGGUAGUGACACCGAGCCUCUGUAAAGCUCCUUCGACGAGUCGAGUAGUUUGGGAAUGCUGCUCUAAAUGGGAGGUGUAAGUCUUCUAAAGCUAAAUACCGGCCAGAGACCGAUAGCGCACAAGUAGAGUGAUCGAAAGAUGAAAAGCACUUUGAAAAGAGAGUUAAAAAGUACGUGAAAUUGUUGAAAGGGAAGCAUUUAUGACCAGACUUGGGCUUGGUUGAACAUCCGGCGUUCUCGCCGGUGCACUCUGCCAGCCUAGGCCAGCAUCAGUUCACGCCGGGGGACAAAGGUAGCGGGAAUGUGACUCCCUCCGGGGAGUGUUAUAGCCCGUUGCGCAAUGCCCUGGGGUGGACUGAGGAACGCGCUUCGGCACGGAUGCUGGCGUAAUGGUCAUCAAUGACCCGUCUUG